GGAUUGUCUUGCAGGAUUUUGGUUCUGACUCUAAUCCUUGCAUCUCUUGGUCUUAGCUGACUAGACAGCCUCACACCUACACUUUGCUGCUGCAGCAGGACAUGCAUGUGAAGGAUCGUAAGCCAGCUAAUAUCAAGGUCUACGAUUACUACAUGCCAGAAGAAUCUACAGUGAUGAGCUACAGUGCCCCAUGCGAAUGAGGAACAUGGACAGACCCAUCCUCUGCAGUCUCUGUCCGUCAGUCCCUUGUCACCCUUGCUAACAGCCACCACAUGGAGACAAGAAGCUAAGAGAAAAUACUUGAAAUUGCCUGUCAAGAAG
rnacentral:lncRNA from 1 species